rnacentral:rRNA from 1 species
AAGUCGUAACAAGGUUUCCGUAGGUGAACCUGCGGAAGGAUCAUUACCGAGUGAGGGUCUCCGGGCCCGACCUCCCAACCCUGUGUUUACCCAACCCAACCGUGUUGCUUCGGCGGACCGGGACGCCCGUUCACCGGGAGUCACCGCCGGGGGAACGCCCGCGAGGGCUGCCCCUGGAGAGUCGUCCGUCGAUGGCCCACCUACCAAAAAUACUACAACCACAAACCAUGGACACAAUUAUUCUGAAUCACACUUUUGAUGUAACAAUCGAAAAAACAAAACUUUCAACAACGGAUCUCUUGGUUCUGGCAUCGAUGAAGAACGCAGCGAAAUGCGAUAAGUAAUGCGAAUUGCAGAAUUUCCGUGAGUCAUCGAAUCUUUGAACGCACAUUGCGCCCUUUGGCAUUCCGAAGGGCAUGCCUGUCCGAGCGUCAUUAUCCUCCCUCAAACCUCGCGUUUGGUGUUGGACCACGUCGGGGUUGAUCUCCAGACGGGUCCCAAAGACAAUGACGGCGUCCGUGGGACCCUCUUCGCACUGAGCUUUCCGGAGCACGCGUCGAGUUGCAAGGUCCCGGGGAGCCGGUCACACCUUUUUUACUUCUAAGGUUGACCUCGGAUCAGGUAGGGAUACCCGCUGAACUUAA